rnacentral:rRNA from 1 species
CCUACGGGGUGCAGCAGUGAGGAAUAUUGGUCAAUGGGCGGGAGCCUGAACCAGCCAAGCCGCGUGAGGGAAGAAGGUACAGCGUAUCGUAAACCUCUUUUGUCAGGGAACAAAGGCGGGGACUAGUCCCCGGAUGAGGGUACCUGAAGAAAAAGCAUCGGCUAACUCCGUGCCAGCAGCCGCGGUAAUACGGAGGAUGCGAGCGUUAUCCGGAUUUAUUGGGUUAAAAGGGUGCGCAGGCGGCCUGUUAAGUCAGCGGGAAAAGCCCGGGGCUCAACCCCGGCGAGCCGUUGAAACUGGCGGGCUGGAGUUGGAGAGAAGUACGCGGAAUGCGCGGUGUAGCGGUGAAAUGCUUAGAUAUCGCGCAGAACCCCGAUUGCGAAGGCAGCGUACCGGCUCCACACUGACGCUGAGGCACGAAAGCGUGGGUAUCGAACAGGAUUAGAUACCCUAGUAGUC